CCAGGCAAAAACUGAAAUCAGAUUAGUUUGGCCAGAGUUUGUUCUUGACAAAUUUAUGCUGGCUUCUAGUAAUCACUGCAGUGUUUUCAAGGUGGU